AAAGCUCCCUGGUCUGAGCAAGUGCUAGUGAGCUUAGCGCAGAGGACAGAGAACUACUGACAGCUUAUCAUCACAGUUUUGAUGAAAAGGUGGAUCUGGACCUCAUUAUGCACUCACUUCAUAACAUCUGUCAUAGUUGUGAGACCGGAGCGAUUUUAAUAUUUCUUCCUGGAUAUGAUGAGAUAGCUUGAGGGACCGCAUUCUUUUUGAUGACAGGAGAUUUGCUGACCAUGCGCACAGAUUCUUUCUACAAAUACAGCAGAAACCAGCAUAACAGUCAAUGAUGUGGUAUUUGUUAUUGGCUCAGGCAAGGUGAAAGAGAAGUCUUUUGAUGCACUGAGUUGUGUUACAAUGCUGAAAAUGGUGUGGAUUUCAAAAGCCAGUGCUAUCUAGAGAAAAGGCAGGUGA